rnacentral:snoRNA from 1 species
CUGCAGCCAAUUAAGCCCACUGUGCUCCUUUCCUCGUGGGCCCAACGUGCAACGGCUGCAAACAGCAGCCCCCUUGGUAGUGUACGCAGCCUGUUGCUUCUGUGGGUUGCUCUGAGGACCCUGGAGACAGCC